UCAACGGAUAAAAGGUACUCCGGGGAUAACAGGCUGAUACCGCCCAAGAGUUCAUAUCGACGGCGGUGUUUGGCACCUCGAUGUCGGCUCAUCACAUCCUGGGGCUGAAGUAGGUCCCAAGGGUAUGGCUGUUCGCCAUUUAAAGUGGUACGCGAGCUGGGUUUAGAACGUCGUGAGACAGUUCGGUCCCUAUCUGCCGUGGGCGCUGGAGAACUGAGGGGGGCUGCUCCUAGUACGAGAGGACCGGAGUGGACGCAUCACUGGUGUUCGGGUUGUCAUGCCAAUGGCACUGCCCGGUAGCUAAAUGCGGAAGAGAUAAGUGCUGAAAGCAUCUAAGCACGAAACUUGCCCCGA
rnacentral:rRNA from 5 species